CGGACCAAUAUUUCCAGCAGCAGAUUUUAACACAAGUAAGACAGGAAAACAUGCUGAAAUUCAAGGCCACAUUUUCAGCAAGGUUAUGCAGAACUUUGCCAAAGCUUCCACAAAGCCCAUUUGUGUCGCACGUCUGGGAGGUUGGCGAAGUCAUCCUGCUCAGCCAGUCCAAUCGCGAGAGACAGAACCACCAUCUUCCCCUCACUGGCAAUCACAAAACAGAAGGCCAGGCACUGGAGGCUCUGUGUGGUGAACCUCCGUGUCCCCAGUGACUCCGGCGCAGUUGAAGACAUCCUCCCAUAUCUUUAGUUAGCACUUCUAAAUUAGGAGUCUCAUUAGACUGGAAGUGUCGUGGUCACAGCUGAGUGUGAUAUCCGUGUGUGUUUAAGCACUUGAUGAGUGGUCAGAGUCUGCCGUGUGAAUAGCCCCUUAAAACAUGAAAGACCAUGAUCAGUACCCUGGAAUUUUGUUAUCCUGAAUGACGCUACUUGUUACUUGUUUUCCCUCAUUACGUCCCAUCGUUCCAUUCUUCUGUCAAAAAAUGUUGAACUAUACAUCCAUGUCUGCACUUUUUUCGUUGUUAUAUUACUUCAUUGAAUAAUCACAAACAUUGUACUUCCAAGAAA